GGUCAAGCUACAAAGAGCUAACGGUGG
rnacentral:rRNA from 3 species